UUUUUUUUUUUUUCCCGGGGAGUCGGCCUCGGGGCUCUGCUCUCCUACCUCAGUCUGCCCUACCCUGGAAUGGGGAAAAUGCGGACAUGCCACUCAGUCCGGCCGCGAACAGUGCUCCAGAACUCAGAGAGUUUUCCAGACGGGUGGAGAUCGCGUUCCCUGCCCGCCGAGGUCCCAUCGCUUCCCUGCUGGGAAGACAAAUGAGGCGCUUUAGCCGUCUCCACGGCCAGCCCCUCCCUCAUAACCCGAGAUUCUUUGUGGGCUCUUAGUCCAUAGCUGCCUUUGAGGUGGUGUAGACCUUGCUAACCAGGACGGCCCAGUAGGCAGAGCUCAUUUUUAUUCCUGUCUGCAAUCGUGCAAAAACGCCUCUUAUGGAAAAGCCAGAGCGCCAGGAGUCAGCAAAACACACUAAAGAUUGGGCAGUCACUGGGGAGAACACUCAGCCCGCCUGCACCCAGGUGAAAUAUACAGCCUUGUUGCUCACACAAAGCCUGUUUGGUGGUUUCUUCACACGGAUGCAUGUGACAUUUGGUGCUGAAGACCCAGGACAGGAGGACUCCUUUGGGAGACCAGUGCCCUGUUGUCGCCCUCACUCCGUGAGGAGAUCCACCUAUGAUCUCAGGUCCUCAGACCAACCAGCCCAAGGAACAUCUUGCCAAUUUCAAAUCGGAUAGGAGUGUCAGGCCUCUGAGUCCAAGCUAAGCCAUCAAAUCCCCUGUGACCUGCACGUGUACAUCCAGAUGACCUGAAGCAACUGAAGAUCCACAAAAGAAGUGAAAGUAGCCUUAACUGAUGACAUUCCACCAUUGUGAUUUGUUCCUGCCCCACGCUAACUGAUACCAUAUAUUCUUCCCCCGCCCUUGAGAAUGUACUUUGUACACCUAUCCCAAACCUAUAAGAACUAAUGAUAAUCCUACCACCCUUUGCUGACUCUCUUUUUGGACUCAGCCCGCCUGCACCCAGGUGAAAUAAACAGCCCUGUUGCUCA
rnacentral:lncRNA from 1 species